CUUCUGCGCAUGUUGACGCUCAUUCUCUAUCCCUUCUAUUUCUCUGGUUUUAAUCAACAGAAAGUAACCAGUGUCGUAGUUUCUUUCAUCGACUGCGCACACUUUCGGCUGAUUCGAGUCAGUAGCGUACGGAUUAAUUUAUUUUGUUUACUUCUUGAGUUAUAUUUUAUAGUUGUUGUUUUAUUUUUGUUUAUUGUGUUAUAUAUUUGGUUUUUCUAGUUUAUUUUCGUUUCUUGUGUUAUAUAAUUUAUUUUUGUUUUUCUGAACAUUUUUAAAUCGUUAAUUUUUACGUGUUUUUAAAAUGCCUGGGCGAAGUUGUGCAGCAAAAAACUGCCCGAGUAGAGGACUAAACUGCAAUAAAAGUUACUUUCUGUUUCCUAGAGAUCCUAUUAGGUAUGUAUAUACAUAUGUGAUUAAUUAUUUUAACAUAUUUUAGUUAAAAAAACAGUAGUAUACAUAUUAGGACAUUCAGCUAAAUAGAAAGAUCUAAUUAAAA